rnacentral:lncRNA from 1 species
AAUUAGCCCUGGCAAAUUCUCCCGGAGGACUCAUGACUCAAAGUAGACCAGUAAUAGAAGGCAAGUGUUCUCAAGAAAACAGAGCAUGGUGAGUAAGAUUUUACUGGACCAGCACUGGCGUACCUCCGUGCCCUCCUUUGGGCCCCCUCCAAACUUGGGACCUUCCUCUCUCUUGCAGGGCCCCUACUUUGGGGAGCUUUACCAAACCAGGAGCCAUUUUCAUUUGUUACUUAGAGCCAGAGUGUGUCUUAAGAAUGCAGAUGUCUGGGAUCCACUUAUACAUUAGAGUGUGUUGGUUGACCAUAUGACCGUAGCUUUGAUCUGGAGGGACAUCAGUGACC